UGAGUUGGAAAUACUGAUUCCAAAUUAGGAGUCCAUUUUUUUUCCCUUUUAUUUCGUCCCAAAAGAAGGUCCUAUUUGAAGAUCGAGGUAUCAAAAUAUUCAAGUAGUUUCAAGCUAGGAAGCAGGGUGUGGCACUUAGCACACGAACUGCACACGGGGUGUGGUGGGGGAGCGGGUGCGGCAGUGGUGCGGUGAGAUAUUCACUGGCUGCGGAAAAUGGUGUAUCCCAAAAUUUUUGAUUUUUUGUUUUCCAGUUCAUCUUCCCACCAUAAUCUACAAAGAAAGAGUUCAUCUUCCCACCAAAAUUGAACAGCCACCACAAUCGAAUAGGGAAAGAGAGGAGAACUGGAAAGAGGAGAAGAAAAGAGAAAAGAAGAGUGAGAAAAAGGAAAAAGAGAAGAGAGCGAAAAAGUAAAGAAUACCUGCUAUUGCCACCGAUUAUGCUGUCCUGAUGUCUAUUGUUGCUCAGUUUGGUACCGCGGGGAUGCUCUCUUAUUUUCUCCUCUUCUUUCUUCUUUUCUUUUCUCCAAAUCGACGUAAGUCGUAGGUCGUAACCAAGUUAGCUGUGUGAACUUUGUAGUCUAUUACUCCCUCUAUCCCAGGAUAAAAGUAUUAGUUGACUUUUUGCUCAUAUUAAGAGAGGAAAAUGACAAAAUUGUCUAUAUUCAAAUGCUCAUUUAAUUGCAUAAUUUUUUAUAGAUGACUAUUGACUAGUGAUUUUCCAUAAAUAUGCACAGAGAAUAUAAAUAUGACAAUUAAUAGUAAGGGUAUUAUAGGCAAAUUAUUGUAAAAAUAGGUUAUUCAAAAGAAGUAGACAUUUAACUUAGGACUGCCUAAAAUAGUAAGAAGGACUUUGAUCGUGGGAUAUAGGGAGUAAUAUAAUGGCCAAAUUACAGAAAAGUGCCCCAACAUUAUUUCAAAAUUUUAAUUUUAGUUUUGAAGUUUGUAACUUUUUUAACUCCACCCCUAUGGUUCCAAGUUAAAAUAAAUUGGUAUAUUACCCCCAUAUUCCUGUGUCACACACGCGUAUCCCCGCACCCGAAUGCUUGCUUCUUAGGUUUCAAGCUUGGGUGUUUUAUUAUGUUAAGAGUUCAUUUUUAUUUCAAUUUCCUUUAAGAUGUGGAUCCCCAUUUGGGAUGGAAAGAGAGUGGAAAAUAUAUACGGCACACUUCUCAUGUACUCGCGGUAUUGUUUUAAAGGUCCCUAGUGUACAGAGGAUUUAUUGCAUGUUAUAGGUGUCCAGAAUUCACAAAUUUUAUCUAUAGUAGAUUUUUUAUUUUCUGAGUCUUGAUUAAAGGAUGAUGAUGAUGCAUUAUGUAGUGAAGUUCUGGAUAGUGAGUUUAUGGGCUGUCAUGCCCAUAUAUUUACACGGC
rnacentral:lncRNA from 1 species